AUGGCUCACGCCCUGGGCAUCCACUCACUUCUCCUCCUCCUCCUCCUCCUGGCCUCUUCGGCGGCGUCUACCGACAUCGUACUUGGCCAGAAGGCCGGCGCGGCUGUGGAGGCACGGCCAGGACCGGGGAAGUACGCAGUGAUCAUGGAUGCCGGCAGCACUGGCACCCGCGUCCACGUCUUCAGGUUCGACAAGAGGAUGGAGCUCGUCGACGUUGGCGGCGACAUUGAGGUCUUCGCCACGGUGAAUCCGGGACUGAGCUCGUACGCCGGACGGCCACAGGACGCUGCCAACUCCAUCAUGCCUCUGCUUGAGAAGGCCAACACCGCUGUGCCUCGGUCACUCAUGAAGAGAACACCCAUUAAACUUGGGGCGACGGCUGGACUCAGACUCAUAGGAGACGAGCAGGCGGAGCAAAUUCUUGAAGCGGUCAGGAGUGUUGUCCACACCAAGAGCAAGUUUCAGUACAAUCCUAGUUGGAUCAAUGUGCUCGAGGGAUCUCAGGAAGGAUCUUACUUAUGGGUUGCGCUAAACUAUCUGUUGGAUAAAUUGGGAGGAGAGUACGCCAAGACAGUAGGUGUGAUUGACCUUGGAGGUGGGUCCGUGCAAAUGGCAUAUGCCAUUUCUGCAGAUGCUGCUGCUGCCGCUCCCGUGGUUAAGGAUCAGUACGUUACGAAAGAGUAUCUCAAAGGAAGAGAUUACAACGUAUAUGCUCACAGCUACUUGCACUACGGCGCAAUGGCUGCUCGAGGAGAGAUCUUCAAGGCAAAGAAUGGACCAGUCAGCUACUGCAUGCUGCGUGGAUUCAUUGGUAAAUACACCUACAACGGAGAUAAGUACGACGCCAUUGCAUCACCAACAGGAGCAGCAUAUGACAAGUGCAAAGAGGAUGUGACCAAGGCACUAAAAUUGAGUGCACCCUGUGAAGCGAAGAACUGCACCUUCAAUGGCGUGUGGAAUGGCGGCGGCGGUGCUGGCCAGGCCGACCUCUAUGCCGCCUCCAGUUUCUACUACAUGGCAUCAAGGGUUGGAUUAAUCGACAGUGAGGCUACCAGUGGGAAGACCACCCCUGCAGCGUACAGGGCCGCUGCCGAGAAGAUUUGCACGCUGAGCCUAGAGGAAGCAAAGGCGGCAUACCCAAAGGCCCGAGCCACCGACGUGCCCUACCUUUGCAUGGACCUCGUCUACCAGUACUCCUUGCUUGUGGAUGGGUUCGGUUUGGAGCCAGCCAAGGAGAUCACAGUGGUGGAGAAGGUGAAGCACGGGGAAUACUUCAUCGAAGCCAAGUGGCCCCUCGGAGAAGCUAUAGAGGCUGUGUCACCCACCAAGCGGCUCCAUGAUGCAUGA
rnacentral:rRNA from 1 species